rnacentral:tRNA from 1 species
AAUAAAGUCAGCUAAUAAAGCUAAUGAGUUCAUACCUCAUAAAUGAAUUUAUCUCUCAAAGCAUAUUUUUUUAUUG